UGGAAUCAGAAACUGGGCUCUCAGUUAGCAUAGUACCAGCAAAAUUGACAGCACACAUGGGAGAAGGGUUUGGAGCAGUGGAACCCCCUAGCUGGGAAUGUUGUAAAAGAUUCAUCAGUUGAUCAUAAUGCUGACUGCUCAACCCAGGUAUCACAGAAGACUGACCAUCUGUUUUGGAAACAGAUUCAUGGUUGGCAGUAGGAUUCCCUUGAGGAACAGACAAAUGACCAUCAGAAUUUGAAGCAACAGCAUUAG
rnacentral:lncRNA from 1 species